GGACACCAAGGAAGGUGGACAACUACUCCUCUAAUAGAAGAAGCCCGGGGGCGUGGAGGAGCGCCUGGGGCUCGGAAGUUCACUUCAUGUGACUGAGGAUAGAGAAUACUACAAGAACAAACAAAAAUGUGACCACGCUAAGAAGACAUCAGAUUCCACUGCUGGCCAUGAACUUACUAUAUUGGAGUAGAAGCAAAAUAAAGCAUCAGAAAUGAUUUGUAUAACGCCAUCUCCUCCUUUUUCUCUUUGUAAGCUAUAAGGGAUGGAACAAAAUGGACUCUGCACUACUGGAGCCAGAGGACGUGUUUGGAGAUUUGUUAAGAAAUAAACAGAAAAUGGAGAGUGGUGUCAUCAACACAGUGGAAUAGAAAGCCCUAGACCUUUUCCCCCCAUAGAGUUAAUAAAGAUCUAUGGUUCAAAAAGCCUUUACAAGAACUCCAGAGACCAGUUAAGAAGUCAUGGCACCUUAGGCAAGCGAAAAGCCAAGAACAGUCUCAUUUAAGUGGAUAAGAAGUGCCACUUCAUUUCAACCAUGAUAGCUUCUACCCUAAGCUAGCACAGCUUGGUGCAACUGGGAGAAAAAGUCCAACUUGUGGCUUCUUCUUUGAGAGCAAAGAGAACUGUGGGGAAAAAAGCCCAACUCUCUGACAUUUCAGGGGGCUGUUUGAGGGACUGGUUUCUGUCUCACCUGACUCUAGGCGUUGACAGGGAAUCAGCAUACUUUGGAGGCUCAGGGGCUACUGAUAACAAAAGAGAGCUUAGCAACUUGUUGCAACACCAGAGAACCUCACCACCACAGGUAGAAGCUGGGACAACUUGGCACAAUAAGGAGAAAGUGCCCAGCUCACCGAUUCUCCCUUGGGAGGGAAAGAGAAGAGUGGAAUGUGCAUGCAAUGUUCCAGCUUUUCAGAGGGCUGCUUGUGGGACUGGUUUCUGCCUUGCUUU
ensembl:lncRNA